CGCAUCCCGGCGGGCAGCGGGGGGGGCAGGGCCGGGCCGCGCUGCUCCUGGCUGCCCGGGCCCGCCGACUUCGUCAAGUCGAGAUGCUCGUCGUCUCCCUCCCUCAGAACUUCCCUCGUUCCUCAAACACAGGGAAGGAAGAACUUGGAGAAUGUUCCUGAGAGUUUGUGACAACGUUCAUGAAGACAAAGAAAAGACAGGAAAAAAUGUUUGUAGGUUGAACAGUCCCAGCUUUCUCAGCCUGUCCUCAUGGGAGAGGUUUUCCAUCCUUUGGAUCAUUUUUGUGGCUCUCCUCUGGAUGCACUCCAACAGGUUGAACAACCUCAAGUCUCCCAGAUUGACUUCAAAGGAGAGAUUUUCCAGCCCUCUGAUUUCCUCUUGGCCCUCCUCUGGACCUGCUCCAACACGUUAAUUUUUAUCUUAUGCAGAGGGCCCCAGAGCUGAACACUGUACUUCAGGUGGGGUCUUGUGAGAGCAGAGCAGAGAGAGGGAAUCACCUCCCUUGUCCUGCUGGCCAUGUUUAUUUUAAUGCUGCCCAGUGUAUGGAUGGUUUUCAGGGCUGCGAGUGCACAUUGCUGGCUCAUGUAGUUUUUUAUCAACCAACAUCCCAAAAUCUUUCUUUUUGGGGUAACUCUCAAUCCUUUCUCCACCCAGCCUGUACUUUGCUUGAGAUUGCCCUAACUCCAGUGGAGGAGCUUGCACUUGGUCUUCUGAAAUUUCACGAGGUUCAUACAGAAACAACUUUCAAGCCUGUCCAAAUCUGUGUGGAUUGCAUUCCUUCUCUCCAACAUAUUGACAGAACCAUUCACUUUGGUGUUGUUGGAAACCUUUCUGAAGGUGUACUCAAUCUCAGUGUCUAGUUCACUAAGAUAACAGAUAACACCAGUUCCAAUAUUGACCCCUGAGGAAUGCCAUUCAUCACCUGAGCAUUGAGUUGUUAACUACAAGUCUCUGAAAGUGACCAUCCAGCCAUUUCCUUAUUCACUGAACACUCCAUCUGUCAAAUCCAUGUAUCUCCAAUUUAUAGAGAAGGAUUUAAUGUGGGACAAUGUCAAAUGCUUUGCACAAAGCUAAGCAAGUGAUGUCAGUUGCUCUUCCCUUAUCCACCAACACUGUAACUCUGUCAUAUAAGGCCACAUCUGCCAGGCACAAUUUGCCCUUAGAGGAACCAUGCUGGCUGUCAUCUCUCUCUUUG
ensembl:lncRNA